GGGUGCGCUGGGCUUGCGCUGGGGCGGGCGGGGGGCGUCCACACGCUUUCUCCCCAGCACGCGUGGGCCUCAUGCGUGGGGCUUUUCACGACUCUCGGGAGUGAGCUGGACACCCUGGGCACCUUUGGACGCGUCCUUCGUAGACGCGCUGUGACACGUGUGUUAGCCUGGGGGCUGGUGGAGCUGAACUGAGACACCACGCCCCCCCGAACACGCACGCACCCCGAGAAUCCCGAGGGAGCUGUUCCCCAGUGUCGGCGGGAAGCGUAUCUGCCAGGUGCGACGGUGGACUGUAGUGGACGCGAAUACCCGGCCCUGUCCGCAGAGGGCCACCUUCCUAGGUCAGAAAUAAUGGACAGUGGAUGGCUACCAACAGACCAUUGAAAGCCAUGGAGUCUCUUCGGGUGCCUGCAAAAGAAGCCUCAUCUCCUGCAUUGAGACAAUACAGACAAGGGCCAGGCUCAAGAAUUAACAUCUCAAAGAUGCCAGAAUACAUCAGCCUGGGGCCAUCGGAAGAUGGGAAGUGCCCCUCUUACUGCUACGCCAGAUAACCCUGGAGGAAUUUUUGCUUUCCAUCCUAUGACUCUGGGCUCUGCUGUCCCGGGGGUGCGGGGAGGCUGCUGCCACCGGUGACAGUGGUCCCCCUCUGAACCAGCAGGGAUGGGGGUUCCUGCAUCGGCUGGUGGGACUGAUCCCAAUUACUGAGGGGGAGCCUGGAGGCCGGCACAACUCGAGGACAGUAAAACCUGUAUCUGUACCUGACGUCUUCACUGGGCACCUCCUCGUACUUGGUACUUCCAGGUUCAACUGUAAAAGAAGGAAAGGAAGUCCUCCAAAAACAAAACUGUUAAGGUCUCAAAUCUUUCAGAAAGGACAGUGAGGCCCAGAAAACCAGGCCUACAUGGUAGAAGGAAGACUCGUUGAAACAGGGGCGCAGCCCUGUUUAAUGCUUGCUCUGGACGUCUCCUCCUCACCUCCCCCACUUUACACGACAUGCUGGGUGUGUUAACUACACCGAUUAGCAAAGGGCAGACCCAGCACUGAGGGAGGAAUCCGGCAUUACCUGGAGAGCCUGCAUUACUGAGAUACGAUACCUCGUGGGCCUUCCUUGGUAGGAAGAAUGCUUGCCCCGCAUCAGGCAGGUGCAUUUUGGUAACUAAGUAUGGGUGGGUGAGAACGCAUUCUUCGUAGCCAAAGGGUCACCUGCCAGUGUGCUUUCAGAUCAAUUCGUCUGCUCUGCACAAGGUGCCGACUUCUGCAAGGAACUGUCCCAGGCUCCCCUGUCUAGUUUGGCGAACAGGAGGGCAGGAGGAGAAAGAUGGGCGUCUCUCUCCCUUCCACAGUGAUGCGGAUGCAUCUCCCCUGAGGGGUCAGCUCCUGCAGGAGGGGCUCUGCCCCUGUGUCCCAGUAACCGUUCUGCUGACCCGCCAGCCCCAGGGAAAGGGCUCCUCCAUCAUCACAGUGAUCAAAUGCUUGUACUGGAUUCCCUUAGCUGGAAAGCCUAGCGUGGUUAUGUUCUCCCACCUGGGCUGACACAGUGUCCUGUAGUUGAUUAAGACGUACUGGGUCAGACUUCAGUUUGGUCAUGACACUUUUUUCAUCUUUCAUUAUGAAAAUUUUCAAAAAAUAAAUAACC